rnacentral:rRNA from 1 species
UACAGAGGGUGCGAGCGUUAAUCGGAAUUACUGGGCGUAAAGCGUGCGUAGACGGUUAUUUAAGUCGGGUGUGAAAGCCCCGGGCUCAACCUGGGAAUUGCAUUCGAGACUGAAUAGCUAGGGUACGGUAGAGGGAAGUGGAAUUUCCGGUGUAGCGGUGAAAUGCGUAGAUAUCGGGAGGAACAUCUGUGGCGAAGGCGGCCAUCUGGACCAGCACUGACACUGAGGCACGAAAGCGUGGGGAGCAAACAGG